GGUAAUGCUGCAUGGAAUAAACCUACAGACAUUCAUGGGUUGAUUUUGUGUUCAAGGGUGGCUGAAUUGUGUCCAAGAAAAAGUGGAUAAAAGACUAAAUUGUGCUUUACAACUACUUUACAGGUAAAUGUAGGAAACACUGACUAAUAUAUAGCACUGAGAUAGCCUGUAUUCCAGCAAUGGCUGCCAUAUUUUCUUCAAAUAAACAUCAUUAUUUAACAGAAAUCACCUGCUAAAUAUGACCUAAGCACAAGUUUCCAAACAGGAUGUUUUUUUUUUUUUUUUUUUUUUUGUGCUAUCAUCUCAUUCUCUGGCGUUGAUCUCAUGAUCCAUGCGCUUUUACCUCAUUCCUCAUGUUGUCAUGUAAACUUUGUGUUUUAGAUGUUUGAUGUGACAGAGUUUACCUUGAGUAAUCUUUCCGUCCUCUCUCUUACAUACACAGAACAGACUGCCUGCAUUGGGCAUCUUUAUCCCUCAAGUCUUUGAUGGAGACUUUUUCCUGUUAUGUAUAUCUCCUGAUGCCUAUCUUAAUUACACAAGCAUACAAUUCAGUCUUCUCUACCUCAGUCAACGAGUGUGUCAUCCUGUGGUCAUGCUAAACAAGUAGCUGUAAUCGGACAAGCAUUUCUCACUGCUUGUGUAAAGCUACUCCUUAUUUCUCCCCUGACCCCUGAGCGCUACACUAACACCACAGGGAGGGGAGAUGUGGCACCGCUUGCUUGUCCUAGGCCAGAUGUGAGCUAGUUAGAAUCUGACCCCGUCGACAGGAAGCUGUACGUCAUACUCAUUUGGUGACUGGACGACUGGCUAAGAACAACCGCUUUCAAUGUUUAGUCCAGUUGUUCAUUUAUUUUAUUUUCUAAUCAAGACCUUUACAUGCAUGAACCCAAGUUAUAGUUUGCAAUUUUGUUUGCAGUGGGUUGUGUUGCUGUCUCCAAGCUUCGUGGUUCCUGGAUCCAUCCUGAGCUCGGUUUCUGUCUCACCAUGUCCGUGUGGGUUUCCUCUGAGUUCUGCAGUUUACUCUUUCUUUCAGAAAACUUGCUGCUAGGUGGACUGGCGAUGAUAAAUUAGCCCUAAGGUGUGAAUGUGUGUGUAUGUGUGUGUGUGUGUGGUGGCCUGCGAUGGACUGGGAUCCCAUCCAGGGUGUGCUCCCUCCUCACACCCAGUGUUCCUGGCAUAGGCUUCGCUUCCACCACGACCCUGUCCAGAAUAAAGUGCUUAUUGAAAGCGAGCGAGUCUUUAUAGCUCACUUCACAACUGUAGUUUGAAUAUAAUUGUACAUAUAUUCAAUUUAUUUGUAUAGUGCUUUUUACAACGGUCAUUGUCUCAAAGCAGAUUUACAGAAAUAUAUAAAGACAGGAGACAGUGUGUGAAUUAAUCCCAAUCGGGCAAGCCGGUGUCAACGGUGGCGAGGAAAAUCUCCCUAAGAUGUUAAGAGGAAGAAACCUUGAGAGGGACCAGACUCAGAAGGGAAGCCAUCAACAUCUGGCACCUGUUUUGGAAAGAAUUGUUCUGGUGGAGCAAAAGUACUGAGGAAGCAAGAGUAGAAAGCUGGUGCCCUCUAAUGGUGACAUCCGACUGGUUGAGGCAGAAAUGUUGGUGUUUCAGACAAAUAAAGUACACAGUCAGAUCACAGCAUGAAAGCCUGAGUGACACAAUGUCUUCAUUCACUGAAUAAACAGCCCUUGGAUAUCAGCACUUCUACACAGGUCAAGAGCUUCAGAAGAAUGGGGAAAAUGUGAGCUCAGUGAUUCUCACAGAAUGGUGUGAAAAGCAAAAACAACAACAACAACAACAACAACAACAACAACAAAAACAUCCAGUGAGCAGAAGUUCUGUUAGCGGAAAGGUCUUAUGAUGAAAGAGGUCAGAGGAGGAUGGCCAGACUAGUUCAAGCUGACAGGAAGGCUACAGUAACUCAAAUAGCCACGCUUUACAACCAUAGUGAUCAGAAAAGCCACACAAAAUGCAUAGCAUAUCCAACCACAUCGUGUUCUAUUCCUGUCAGCCAAGGUGUGAUAUAAAGGACAGGUUUGUGGCAUUGACUGGAAUCAUCACUGAAUUGUCACUGAAUUCAUCAUCAGUCUAUGGCCUUUCUCUCGCCAUGUUGGAAAUGACUAUGACGCUGACAAACAUCUGCCCAUGUAUGUCCCUAAAUCUUAUGCAGUACCAUUCACAUUAAACACUGGUUGAUUUUGAGUUUUAAUAACCACUAGAUGUCACUAUAUGCCCAAAAUGCAGAUAUCUGCUCUGCAAAAAAAAUAAAAAUAAAUAAAAAAAUAAAUAAAAAAAUAGGAUAGAGGAUAAAGACUGGUGAGGAGAAAAUAAAUAUGAUAUUUAAUUUUCAUUAUACUGAUGAGUGUUUAUAUGAGUGUACGUCUGAAAAGUUAUGAAAUAAUAAUAAGAAAAUACAUGAAUCAUUUUAAUGCAAUUGCUAUGAGAGAUAUCGAGGUUGUUUUUGUUUUAUAUUCUCCCAGUUUAGUGUCAUUCCAAAUACGAAAAUUGAUAUGAUACACAAAUUCAACGAAGCACAAAGAUAUUAUUUGUGCAUGAAUCCAAAUAUUUAAUCUUCAUGUCUGAUUUAAAAAAAAAAAAAAAAGAAGAAGAAGAUAUAUGGUUGGAUAAUCAGUGUAGGAAUUCCAGAUUAUUGUGUUUAAUGUUAAAAUAAAAUCUGAUAAUGUAAAGAUGAAUAUCUGUACACCAGUAAAUUGGAUAUUUAUAACCACUACCAUUAUU